rnacentral:rRNA from 1 species
UACCAGCACCCCGAGUGGUCGGGACGUUUAUUGGGCCUAAAGCAUCCGUAGCCGGUUCUGCAAGUCCCCCGUUAAAUCCAGCUGCUCAACAGAUGGGCCGCGGAGGAUACUACAGAGCUAGGAGGCAGGAGAGGCAAGCGGUACUCAGUGGGUAGGGGUAAAAUCCGUUGAUCCAUUGAAGACCACCAGUGGCGAAGGCGGCUUGCCAGAAUGCGCUCGACGGUGAGGGAUGAAAGCUGGGGGAGCAAACCGG